AUAAAAAGUAAUUUGGCCGCCGUCGGUUGUAAACUUCCGUUUAAAUCUCCGUUAUAAAAGUUGCGGAAACAGAAGCAGAAACGGAUGUUGAAAAUCGCGCGGAACUUCCGCACUUGCGGAAACAGAAACAGAGAUCCGUUGCAUCACUAAUAUAACAAAAAUAAGUGAUAAUACUUU